CCCCUUUUUCAUCUCUUCUCCCACUUGUUAUCCAUUUCACUCAAGAUCCUAUCAAUUUUCCAAGAGAUUGUUGAAGAACCAAGGUUUUAAUUGCUUCCUACCGAUUAUUUCGUCCAAGAAAAGGUGAAAUUUUGUGCGAGACGCGUGAUACCAAAGGAAAAGCGAAACUUGAAAACUAAAGGAUCGAGGUUGAGCGGCGACGGGCGGUUGGCGGUGUUGAGCAGGAACUAAUAAUGAACUGUGGUUGUUUUGGUUUUGAAAUUCCGAGUGUCGUUGUGUCUUCACACAUGACGUCACUCUUCUCUUGGAUGCUUCCGCUGUGAUAUUUUUCUUAGAAUACUUUUCAUUUAAAUUCUGAAACUAUUUUAUGAUGGGAUGUUUGAAACUCGUUACACUUUUUGAAUAAAUGCUAAACCCUAGUCUUUAUUCAUUAAA